AACGCGAAGAACCUUACCUGGGCUUGACAUCUUUGGAAUCUUCAUGAAAGUGAGGAGUGCCGCAAGGAGCCAAAAGACAGGUGGUGCACGGUUGUCGUCAGCUCGUGUCGUGAGAUGUUGGGUUAAGUCCCGCAACGAGCGCAACCCUCGUGGUCUGUUGUUACAGGUAGCAAUAUGCUGAACCCUCAGGCCAGACUGCCGGUGAUAAACCGGAGGAAGGUGGGGACGACGUCAAAUCAUCACGCCCCUUAUGUCCAGGGCUACACACGUGUUACAAUGGGAAGAGGACAAUGGGUCGCUUGGCAGCAAUGUCUGGCAAAUCCCGAAACCUCCCCUCAGUUCGGAUCGUAGUCUGCAACUCGACUACGUGAAGCUGGAAUCGCUAGUAAACGCAGAUCAGCACGCUGCGUUGAAUACGUUCCCGGGCCUUGUA
rnacentral:rRNA from 1 species